CAUAUAGCUCAGUUGGUAGAGCACUUCCUUGGUAAGGAAGAGGUCACCGGUUCAAAUCCGGUUAUGG
rnacentral:tRNA from 1 species